CUGAACCCAUAGCUGAGGUGGGUCAAUUGUAUGUAGCAUACUAAAUAGUGGUGAAUUCAAAGGAGAAAAGUAAGAGGAAGUGAAGCAGGAAUGUUGGCGCAUGCUGCAAGUCAUCUGUUGUAGGGUCAACUGAAAAGAAGUUGCCUGCUGUCAUUUUCAUGGAAGGAGAAAACACAACCACAGACUUGGCACUAGAGAGCCCCUUGAGGGAGUAGACAGUCUGGAGUUUUGUUUAAGAGUCAUCAGAAGCCAGGCUGGAGCACUCAGAAUCCCAUGAAUCCAUUGUCUUUGAUGCAUCUCCCUGACAGCUUUUCCAGCACCAGUCUUUAAGGUUGCAGGGUUAUCCUCUCUGAACUACCACCUCUAAUGCAACAGCACAGUGUGAGCAGCACACCCCACUUCUGCCACCAUGCUGUCUACACCAUGUUCAAGGGUACCACAAACCCCGAGCCCAGAUAAACUAGUCUGCGCAUAAGCUGCUGCUUAUCGGAUAUUCUGUCACAGCAACCAGAAAAGCAGUGAGUAUAAUGCCACCAGAAGUAACAGAGGAUGGCUGGCGACAAGAUACAUUUCAAGCUCAAAUCCUAGCCUAGGGAAAAGAACAGUGGAGAAAGACAAGUAACUGGGCAGCAUGCGGAAGAGGGAGAGUCAAUUGUUCACAAUGUAUUUGGCCAUAGCAAUGGAUAUUGACAACACCAACCUACAGCUGGGAUUCUGAGGAAAGACUGGAGCUAGUGAUGGAUCUGUAACUGGAGGAAAUGAAUAGGGGGAAAAUCAGUCAAAAUUUGCAUCUGAAACUGAUUGCUGGUGCUGUGAUGAAACACCACGACCCAAGGCAAGGUGGAGAGGAAAGGGUUGAUUUGGCUUACAACUCUGUGUCACCACCUACUACUGAAGGAAGUCGGCCAGGAAUUCAAGGCAGACAUCUGGAGGCAGGAACUGACGCAGACAACAUGGAAGAACACCGCUUACUUGCUUGCUCUCCAUCGCUUGCUCAGCCUGUUUUCUCAUGGCACCCAGGACUACUUGCCCAGGAGUGAAGUGACAUGGCCCCUAGUGUGGUCUGGGCCCUCCCACAUCCAUCAUUAAUUAAGAAAAAAAAAAAGCCCUACAGACUUGUCUAUAGAUGUUCUGAUGGCAACAUUCUUGCAACUGAGGUUCUAGCUUGGGGCAAGUUCACAAAAAUCUAACCAGGAUACCAUGUGCAGCAUGGUGAUAUGAAAGCAACAUGCUGGCAAAUAGGAUGCUUAGGAUGUAUCUGGUGUUGUAGUUAAACUAGUGCAGCUUAGCAUUUUUGAAGGAAGCAUGCUUAACCUGUAUGCAAAGUGGCAUAUGAAGUUAGCAUGACUUAGCGGUUAUGGGUUACAUAGUGUUAAUUAAUAUGCAAAGGAUAGACUUGAGGGUAGCUUCAUUCUUGACCAGCUGCAGGACCUUAAACAGGUUGCUUAAUUUUUCUGAACUUCACAUCUUUAUGUGCCAAUGCUUGAUUGAAAAGGUCAAGUUGAUGUGUAUUUGGCAUGUAGCUCAGUGUGGAGAACAAACAAGUGUUUUGAAAGGUUUGCUGACACGCACUGAACUGGCUGGACUUCACUGAGACCCUGCGGUUGUGCAGGGCUCCGGAGAUGGAGACAUACAGGAGACACUAUGUUUGCCCCGAGCACAGGGCUUAUCCUGGUAGAAAUGGAAUCUAUUCUAAUGAAAUGAAGUUUGGAAGAACUGUGGAAGGCAUUCUAAACUCGGUCGGUGAAGAAAGGCUCUUGCCUGUUGUUACGCAGGAAAAAGCAGGCUUUAUCUGUGUGAAACAACUGCUCCUCUCCUGCCUGCUUUUAUCCAUCCCCAAACUAUCUUGCCUGUGAUGUUAAAAUUAGAGAUUUAUUAAUUUGGGUCAAGCAUUUCCAUUUUCCCAAGGGCUUGUAUAAAAGUGCCAAUUAACUGGGAGGUGGCAAGAGUUUGCUAAUGAUAUUUUGAUGGAUUCUUAGGUGGUAAGUCACAGGAUCCCAUAACCCACUGAGAUCAAUUCAGUGAGCCUAGGUGGUACCUAGCAAUGGCCCUGGCUGCUUCUUGGGCUGGUGGUCCAUCCAUACUGUAUAUCCAGGGAUACAAAAGUCAAAGUGCUCCUGGGGGCAAAUUGGUGGUCCCUUUCACUGAAAGGACAAAAAGCACUUGAAGG